rnacentral:rRNA from 1 species
UACAGAGGGUGCAAGCGUUGUUCGGAAUUAUUGGGCGUAAAGGGCGCGUAGGCGGUGCGGUAAGUCACCUGUGAAACCUCUGGGCUUAACUCAGAGCCUGCAGGCGAAACUGCCGUGCUUGAGUGUGGGAGAGGUGCGUGGAAUCCGGUGUCGCGGUGAAAUGCGUAGAUAUCGGGAGGAACACCUGUGGCGAAAGCGGCGCACUGGACCACAACUGACGCUGAGACACGAAAGCGUGGGUAGCAAACAGG